rnacentral:rRNA from 1 species
UAGAGAAUACCAAGGCGCUUGAGAGAACUCGGGUGAAGGAACUAGGCAAAAUGGUGCCGUAACUUCGGGAGAAGGCACGCUGAUAUGUAGGUGAAGCGACUUGCUCGUGGAGCUGAAAUCAGUCGAAGAUACCAGCUGGCUGCAACUGUUUAUUAAAAACACAGCACUGUGCAAACACGAAAGUGGACGUAUACGGUGUGACGCCUGCCCGGUGCCGGAAG